UGCAAGUCGAGCGGAACGAGUUAUCUGAACCUUCGGGGAACGAUAACGGCGUCGAGCGGCGGACGGGUGAGUAAUGCCUAGGAAAUUGCCCUGAUGUGGGGGAUAACCAUUGGAAACGAUGGCUAAUACCGCAUAAUGCCUACGGGCCAAAGAGGGGGACCUUCGGGCCUCUCGCGUCAGGAUAUGCCUAGGUGGGAUUAGCUAGUUGGUGAGGUAAGGGCUCACCAAGGCGACGAUCCCUAGCUGGUCUGAGAGGAUGAUCAGCCACACUGGAACUGAGACACGGUCCAGACUCCUACGGGAGGCAGCAGUGGGGAAUAUUGCACAAUGGGCGCAAGCCUGAUGCAGCCAUGCCGCGUGUGUGAAGAAGGCCUUCGGGUUGUAAAGCACUUUCAGUCGUGAGGAAGGUAGUGUAGUUAAUAGCUGCAUUAUUUGACGUUAGCGACAGAAGAAGCACCGGCUAACUCCGUGCCAGCAGCCGCGGUAAUACGGAGGGUGCGAGCGUUAAUCGGAAUUACUGGGCGUAAAGCGCAUGCAGGUGGUUUGUUAAGUCAGAUGUGAAAGCCCGGGGCUCAACCUCGGAAUUGCAUUUGAAACUGGCAGACUAGAGUACUGUAUAGGGGGGUAGAAUUUCAGGUGUAGCGGUGAAAUGCGUAGAGAUCUGAAGGAAUACCGGUGGCGAAGGCGGCCCCCUGGACAGAUACUGACACUCAGAUGCGAAAGCGUGGGGAG
rnacentral:rRNA from 1 species